GAUGAACGCUGGCGGCGUGCCUAAUACAUGCAAGUCGAGCGAACGGACGAGAAGCUUGCUUCUCUGAUGUUAGCGGCGGACGGGUGAGUCACACGUGGAUAACCUACCUAUCCGACUGGGAUAACUUCGGGAAACCGGAGCUAAUACCGGAUAAUAUUUUGAACCGCAUGGUUCAAAAGUGAAAGACGGUCUUGCUGUCACUUAUAGAUGGAUCCGCGCUGCAUUAGCUAGUUGGUAAGGUAACUGCUUACCAAGGCAACGAUGCAUAGACGACCUGAGAGGGUGAUCGGCCACACUGGAACUGAGACACGGUCCAGACUCCUACGGGAGGCAGCAGUAGGGAAUCUUCCGCAAUGGGCGAAAGCCUGACGGAGCAACGCCGCGUGAGUGAUGAAGGUCUUCGGAUCGUAAAGCUCUGUUAUGAGGGAAGAACAUAUGUGUAAGUAACUGUGCACAUCUUGACGGUACCGAAUCAGAAAGCCACGGCUAACUACGUG
rnacentral:rRNA from 1 species